UUGUUCAUCUCAAACCAUUCAGUUUUCGUUCAUGUAUAUCGAAUGCAAAAAUUCGCCAAGUAGCUUCACAUGCAGAGAGGAGUGCGAGAUUAUGAGGCACAAC